rnacentral:rRNA from 1 species
CAGAGGUCCCAAGCGUUGUUCGGAUUCACUGGGCGCAAAGGGUGCGUAGGUGGUUGGGUAAGUCUGAUGUGAAAUCUCCGAGCUUAACUCGGAAAUGGCAUUGGAUACUAUUCGGCUAGAGGGUUUGAGGGGGGACUGGAAUACUUGGUGUAGCAGUGAAAUGCGUAGAUAUCAAGUGGAACACCAGUGGCGAAGGCGAGUCCCUGGAAAACUCCUGACACUGAGGCACGAAAGCUAGGGGAGCAAACAGGAUUAGAUACCCUGGUAGUCCUAGCUGUAAACGGUGCAUAUUUGCUGUAAAAGGAAUCGACCCCUUUUGUGGCGAAGCAAACGCGUUAAAUAUGCCGCCUGGGAAGUACGGUCGCAAGAUUA